rnacentral:rRNA from 1 species
CAGCACCUCAAGUGGUCAGGAUGAUUAUUGGGCCUAAAGCAUCCGUAGCCGGCGCUGUAAGUUUUCGGUUAAAUCUGUACGCUCAACGUACAGGCUGCCGGGAAUACUGCAGCGCUAGGGAGUGGGAGAGGUAGACGGUACUCGGUAGGAAGGGGUAAAAUCCUUUGAUCUAUUAAUGACCACCUGUGGCGAAGGCGGUCUACCAGAGCACGUCCGACGGUGAGGGAUGAAAGCUGGGGGAGCAAACCGGAUUAGAGACCCGAGUAGUCC